rnacentral:rRNA from 1 species
CAGUCGCCACGGUAAAACGGAGGGUGCAAGCGUUAAUCGGAAUUACUGGGCGUAAAGCGUGCGUAGGCGGUUCGUUAAGUCUGUUGUGAAAGCCCCGGGCUCAACCUGGGAAUGGCAAUGGAUACUGGCGAGCUAGAGUGUGUCAGAGGAUGGUGGAAUUCCCGGUGUAGCGGUGAAAUGCGUAGAGAUCGGGAGGAACAUCAGUGGCGAAGGCGGCCAUCUGGGACAACACUGACGCUGGGGCACGAAAGCGUGGGGAGCAAACAGGAUUAGAUACCCGCGUAGUCCCUGUCUCUUAUAC